UAGAGUUGCAAAACUCCUAAACCCUUGUGAAUAUACCUGUUAUAGUUGCUUCGGUGGGCGGCCCCAGGGCGGGGCCGCAGCCUUCUUGUAAGGCGCCUGCCGGAGGUAUCAAACUCUAUAUUACAUGUCUCUCUGAGUAAUUUAUAAAAUAAGUCA
rnacentral:misc_RNA from 1 species